rnacentral:rRNA from 1 species
GAUGAACGCUGGCGGCGUGCCUAAUACAUGCAAGUCGAGCGAACAGACGAGGAGCUUGCUCCUCUGACGUUAGCGGCGGACGGGUGAGUAACACGUGGAUAACCUACCUAUAAGACUGGGAUAACUUCGGGAAACCGGAGCUAAUACCGGAUAAUAUAUUGAACCGCAUGGUUCAAUAGUGAAAGACGGUUUUACUGUCACUUAUAGAUGGAUCCGCGCCGCAUUAGCUAGUUGGUAAGGUAACGGCUUACCAAGGCGACGAUGCGUAGCCGACCUGAGAGGGUGAUCGGCCACACUGGAACUGAGACACGGUCCAGACUCCUACGGGAGGCAGCAGUAGGGAAUCUUCCGCAAAGGGCGAAAGCCUGACGGAGCAACGCCGCGUGAGUGAUGAAGGUCUUCGGAUCGUAAAACUCUGUUAUUAGGGAAGAACAAAUGUGUAAGUAACUAUGCACGUCUUGACGGUACCUAAUCAGAAAGCCACGGCUAACUACGUG